UUUCUGAAACGAAAUAGCUAGACUAAUUAUCUGUUUAUAGAAUUGAUGUUCGAAAUCAUGGUUUCUGAGUUAACUUCAUUGGAGCAGAAAAUCUUGGAGGGAACAUCAAUACUAAUCUAAUGACAUUCCAUAGGAAUAAAAAUCCAAUGGGACCAAGUUCUUAGCAGUUCACAUUGAGUCAGAAGUACAAAAUUGAGAACCAUGCAGAUCAGCAAGUGUUAGUUCAUGUAGUUACAAUCUAAUGAGGAACAGGAUAUCUAAAUGGAAAAAUUGCAAGGUUUCCCACUUCCCAAGCUGUUUAAGUACUGGUAUCACAACAAGUGCCAAGAAGAGAUAUGAAGGCCAAGUAAAUAAAAAGUAGUUACUUCAUUUCAAUUACACAUUAAAAUUGAAUUAAUUUGAAAUAAAUAUAUUAAUAAAGCAUUGAAUGUAACGUAACUUAAACUACACAUCUGUAGAAAAGAGUGCAGUACAAGUUCAGGUUCAUCACAGGGGCCUCGGAACGAUUUUCAAAGUGGGGGGCUAACCAUGCAAAAAAUCACAAUCGUAUGGUCAUUUUUACGUUCUUGUACAUGGCUUUGGAAAAAAGUGGGGGCUCCCCCCCCCCCGCUUCCACGGCCCCUGCAUAACCGGGCAAUGACAUUGAAGUAUACAAGUUUUGGUAUAAAAUUUUACACAAAAUACAAGUAAGAAAUCUUUUUCCAACGGGCAAAUGUAUCACCUUUUAUUGAUAUUUCAUACUUCUACUAGUUCUUAGUAGUUUUUAUGAAAAUAAAUAUUUUCCAGUUUAAAGGCCUAUUCAAUAUCAGAAUAAGUCUUCUUUUAGUGACAUACUUAAGGUUGUAAAUAUAUAAGACAAAAAAUAUUGUAUUUUGAAAUAAAAAUCAUGCAUAGCGAAAUGAUAAUAUAGGUGAUCAGAAGAUUAAGAAAUAAUGUUAGUAUCACUGCUGGACCUCAUUUCAUAAACAAGUUAUUACUAUUGUAAUCUUGUCAUUAUGACAAUUAUGGUAACAUGGCUGAGCAAGAAAUUAAGGGUUUUUUAUGUUACCUAAUAAAGGCUGGGGGCAAAGUGACCAUGAUUACAAGUCUUUAUAAAUUAUGUAGGGUUAUUAAGUUGCAUUUAUGGUUAUCUUACUUUAACAAAAUGUGAAAUGGGUUACCACUGUAAUAAUGUAUAAAUAGACUAUAUUUUAAAAAUAGAUUGAAUUCUAACCACAGUGACAGUAGACAAAAUCAAAUUUUGUUAAUGAUUCGCUAAUGUAUUUAUUGGGGAAGGCACUCUUUAGGUAGAUUCUGGCAUUGUGCCCCCCCCCCCCCUUAUGAGGAGUGCUCUCACAUCAGUAGUCUAUUUCUUGUCAGCAAAUUUGAAAGGAAUUUACCUUCUUU